AACAUUUAUAUGUACUGUUGCUUAACUUAGGGACAAAGACUUACAGACUGGUGUCAAAAAAUAAUAAUAAUUCUCUUUUAUAAGACAGAGCUCAGUUUCUGAUGUGAGUUUUGAUACAUGUAUUAAGGAAUAUU